AUUCUUAUAGUUUAAGUUUUAAAAUAUAAUAUUGAAAAUAUUAAGAUAUUUUUUAAGAGUA
rnacentral:tRNA from 1 species